CUACGGGAGGCAGCAGUGGGGAAUCUUAGACAAUGGGGGAAACCCUGAUCUAGCCAUGCCGCGUGAGUGAAGAAGGCCUUCGGGUUGUAAAGCUCUUUCGGCCGGGAAGAAAUCGUGCGGGCCAAUACCCUGUAUGGAUGACGGUACCGGAAGAAGAAGCACCGGCUAACUACGUGCCAGCAGCCGCGGUAAUACGUAGGGUGCGAGCGUUAAUCGGAAUUACUGGGCGUAAAGGGUGCGCAGGCGGUUUUGUAAGACAGGUGUGAAAUCCCCGGGCUUAACCUGGGAACUGCGCUUGUGACUGCAAGACUUGAGUGCGGCAGAGGGGGGUGGAAUUCCACGUGUAGCAGUGAAAUGCGUAGAGAUGUGGAGGAACACCGAUGGCGAAGGCAGCCCCCUGGGUCGAGACUGACACUGAGGGACGAAAGCGUGGGUAGCGAACAGGAUUAGAUACCCCAGUAGUCC
rnacentral:rRNA from 1 species